ACGCCCGUUCCCAUUCCGAACACGGAAGCUAAGCCCUCCAGCGCCGAUGGUACUACCCUGGCGACGGGGUGGGAGAGUAGGUCAUCGCCAGAG
rnacentral:rRNA from 1 species